AUACGGAGGAUGCGAGCGUUAUCCGGAUUUAUUGGGUUUAAAGGGUGCGUAGGCUGCGCGUUAAGUCAGGGGUGAAAUGCCGUCGCUCAACGACGGAGCUGCCCUUGAUACUGGCGUGCUGGAGUACGGAUGCCGUUGGAGGAAUGAGUGGUGUAGCGGUGAAAUGCUUAGAUAUCACUCAGAACACCGAUUGCGAAGGCAUCGGACGAAUCCGUCACUGACGCUGAGGCACGAAAGCGUGGGGAGAGAACAGGAUUAGAUACCCUGGUAUUCCACGCCGUAAACGAUGAUGACUAACCGUCGGCGAUAGACAGCCGGUGGCCAAGCGAAAGCGAUAAGUCAUCCACCUGGGGAGUACGUCGGCAACGAUGAAACUCAAAUGAAUUGACGGGG
rnacentral:rRNA from 1 species